rnacentral:rRNA from 1 species
AGAGUUUGAUCCUGGCUCAGGAUGAACGCUAGCUACAGGCUUAACACAUGCAAGUCGAGGGGCAGCAUGGUCUUAGCUUGCUAAGGCCGAUGGCGACCGGCGCACGGGUGAGUAACACGUAUCCAACCUGCCGUCUACUCUUGGACAGCCUUCUGAAAGGAAGAUUAAUACAAGAUGGCAUCAUGAGUCCGCAUGUUCACAUGAUUAAAGGUAUUCCGGUAGACGAUGGGGAUGCGUUCCAUUAGAUAGUAGGCGGGGUAACGGCCCACCUAGUCUUCGAUGGAUAGGGGUUCUGAGAGGAAGGUCCCCCACAUUGGAACUGAGACACGGUCCAAACUCCUACGGGAGGCAGCAGUGAGGAAUAUUGGUCAAUGGGCGGGAGCCUGAACCAGCCAAGUAGCGUGAAGGACGACGGCCCUACGGGUUGUAAACUUCUUUUAUAAGGGAAUAAAGUUCGCCACGUGUGGUGUUUUGUAUGUACCUUAUGAAUAAGCAUCGGCUAAUUCCGUGCCAGCAGCCGCGGUAAUACGGAAGAUGCGAGCGUUAUCCGGAUUUAUUGGGUUUAAAGGGAGCGUAGGCGGGCUUUUAAGUCAGCGGUCAAAUGUCGUGGCUCAACCAUGUCAAGCCGUUGAAACUGUAAGCCUUGAGUCUGCACAGGGCACAUGGAAUUCGUGGUGUAGCGGUGAAAUGCUUAGAUAUCACGAAGAACUCCGAUCGCGAAGGCAUUGUGCCGGGGCAUAACUGACGCUGAGGCUCGAAAGUGCGGGUAUCAAACAGGAUUAGAUACCCUGGUAGUCCGCACGGUAAACGAUGAAUGCUCGCUAUGGGCGAUAUAUUGUCCGUGGCCAAGCGAAAGCGCUAAGCAUUCCACCUGGGGAGUUACGCCGGCAACGGUGAAACUCAAAGGAAUUGACGGGGGCCCGCACAAGCGGAGGAACAUGUGGUUUAAUUCGAAGCAACGCGAAGAACCUUACCAGGUCUUGACAUCCCGAUGACCGGCCCGUAACGGGGCCUUCUCUUCGGAGCAUUGGAGACAGGUGGUGCAUGGUUGUCGUCAGCUCGUGUCGUGAGAUGUUGGGUUAAGUCCCGCAACGAGCGCAACCCUUAUCCUCAGUAGCCAGCAGGUCAAGCUGGGCACUCUGUGGAGACUGCCAGGGAUAACCUGGAGGAAGGUGGGGAUGACGUCAAAUCAUCAUGCCCCUUAUGAUCUGGGCUACACACGUGCUACAAUGGCGUAAACAAAGGGAGGCAAAGCCGCGAGGUGGAGCAAAUCCCAAAAAUAACGUCUCAGUUCGGACUGCAGUCUGCAACUCGACUGCACGAAGCUGGAAUCGCUAGUAAUCGCGAAUCAGAAUGUCGCGGUGAAUACGUUCCCGGGUCUUGCACUCACCGCCCGUCA